AGUGAACGCUGGCGGUAGACCUAAUACAUGCAAGUCGAACGGCAGCACAGUAAGAGCUUGCUCUUACGGGUGGCGAGUGGCGGACGGGUGAGGAAUACAUCGGCAUCUACUUUUUCGUGGGGGAUAACGUAGGGAAACUUACGCUAAUACCGCAUAUGAUCUACGGGUGAAAGCAGGGGAUCUUCGGACCUUGCGCGAUUGAAUGAGCCGAUGUCGGAUUAGCUAGUUGGCGGGGUAAAGGCCCACCAAGGCGACGAUCCGUAGCUGGUCUGAGAGGAUGAUCAGCCACACUGGAACUGAGACACGGUCCAGACUCCUACGGGAGGCAGCAGUAGGGAAUAUUGGACAAUGGGCGCAAGCCUGAUCCAGCCAUACCGCGUGAGUGAAGAAGGCCUUCGGGUUGUAAAGCCCUUUUGUUAGGAAAGAAAAGCAGCAGGUGAAUACCCCGCUGUUCUGACGGUACCCAAAGAAUAAGCACCGGCUAACUUCGUG
rnacentral:rRNA from 1 species